UUAGUGUUGAAGUUGUACUGUUCCACAAGAUCAUCUCGAAUGGAUACUCAAAAUCGUCAUUAAAUUUAAAUUUGGUGAAAAAUAGUUUUUUUUAACAGUUUUAUCAAAUACGUAUUUCAAUUUUCUUUCAUCACACUAAGGAUCAAUACCUUUUAUCAAAUUAUUAUUCAUUAUUGUUAGAUUUUUACCAUAUGUCCCAGAGGAAAAAAUUUGUAAAAAAUUUACGCUGGCGGGUUGAUUGGUCGGUCGUUCUCUAGAUCGACUGGUGGUUUGAUAAAAUUACAAAACCCUUCGUUGAGCACUUAAUAUCAAAGGAAGUUUUUAUUCAAAUUUUUACUUAAAUUUAGUGAAAAAAUUGAUACACUAUUAGCGAUGCCUAAUAGGCAGCAAUAUCCCAAAAAACAGAGUACUCUGUUUUCAUCACCAGUAUAGUAUUUGCCAAAUUCAUUUUGUGUUGUGUAUAUAUAUUGUCUCUCCAUAAUUUUUAUUUUGUUUUUGGGGUCAAACUAGCUGCCGAUUCACACGCUAUAGGCUAUGCAAUUUUGUCAUAUUUGGAACUUUUAGUCUGCAUUUGGAUUAUGAAUUUGAGUAAGAAUUUGUAGAGUAUGGAUUUGAGUAAGAAUUUGUGGAGUGAAAAGAAAAGAGAUGAAAAAAAAAAUCAUAAAAACAGAAGCUAAAUUUAUGUCAAAUUUUCUAUUCCUUUAUAAUUUUUCACCACAAAUUCUUAUUUAAAUCUAUGAUUUUAAACGAAGUGCUAGUUGAUGGACAAGAAGGCAGAGUAGGAGUGAGAUGGUGAAAAAAGGAUAGUUGCAAAGGGAGAUUGAUUUAGUGUAAAGAUUAAAAUGUGAAGGAGUUUCGAGAUGGGCUAUUCAUUGAUUUUUUCCAAUCAAGUAUUUAGAUUAUAUAUAUAUUUUGGGUGAUCUUUUUAGAAUUGAGAAAAACGUAUACAUAGCUUCAUCUUGUAUUCACAUCAAUUGAAAUCUUCACAACACCAAGAGGUUAACUGUGCAAUAAAGAUUGAGAAAAUGAUCUAAGGUUUCAAGUUUCAGUCAUCCUAAGGGUAAUUGGAGAUUCAUCCGGUCGUUAACUUCAGGGGGUCACAUUAACCCGGGGUGACAUUCGGGCUGUUCUUGGCGCGGAAGGUGUCGCUGAUAAGAGCGGUGAUGUACAUGGUGGCACAGUGCGCGGGGGCCAUAUGCGGUGUUGGGCUUGUGAAGUUAUUCCAGAGUUCGUCCUACGAAACACACAAAGGCGGAGCCAACAUGCUCGCCCCAGGGUACAACAAAGGCACUGGACUCGGCGCUGAGAUGAUCAGAACCUCCGUCCUUGUUUACACUGUCUUCUCCGCCGCUGAUCCCAAGAGAAGUGCCAGAGACUCCCAUGUCCCUUGAUCAGGCACGAGACCAGGCUCAAUGAGGUUUACGUAGAGAUCCUUUGAGUCAGCCAACUGGUGUGCCUUUAAAGGAGGUUCCGAAAUGUUUUGUGAUCUAGUCUUGUGAACAUGAUACAAGUUUAAGUUUUUAUUUAUUUAUUUAUUCCUUUUGUUUGUUUGGUCAGUUUCUUUGGGUUUAUUUGUAUCUAUGGUGAUAUAAGACUGACACUCUGAUGACAUCACAUAUGUUGUAAAUAUAAGAUUUAAA